ensembl:ncRNA lncRNA:CR44940 long non-coding RNA:CR44940
CCUAAUCUGUCAAAUCUAUAUCCUUUUUUUCUUCCAAAAAACACACUAUUCAAUUUUAUUCCUUGCUACAUUAAACGAGUUUGUAAAUGUUAAGCACUUUUUCGCUUAAAACAGCAAAUAAGGUCGAAGGUCUUGGAAAAUAAUUUGCGGUAGGCAUUAGCACCCAUUCUCGGAAGUGAAGCUGCUCCAUUUCGGGAAACCAAUUUAGUCAUAUCUUUUGCAUGAAAUGUAAGCCACUAAUUAAAACUAAGUGGCGGGGGCGGAACAUCGUCGAAAAUAUCGCGCCCAUGCCGUAACCCCGAUUAACCCGAGCGACGCCCAAUUACACUUUCGGCUACCGUACUAUUUUUUUUUCUUUGCCCUCCCGUUUAACGUGUUCUCAUCGUUGAGAGUGUGCGAUGGCGCUGGAAAUGUGAAAUGGGGAAUGGGGAAUGGCGUUGACUACCCUCGAAAAUUUUUGACAUUUUGACAGGGCUACAAGUUUACAAGCACCGCAGGCUACAAGAGGCAACAUCAUCGGCGUCAGGAAGAACACUACUCUACAUGGUAACGCAUUACGCAUACGCCAUGUGGCCGGGCUAAAACGGGAUGUGCGGAAGGUAUAGCGAAUCGCAUAGCUGAUGUAAUAGCGUGCGGAGUUUUCGGGACUCCAAGCAUUUCGACCUAGCUCAUUAUGCCACAUGCGACAAAGGAGAUGUUCGGAUGGGUUUCUGGUCUGGAGGCAUAUAAGAAAGUUGAUUACUAGUGCAGUGCUUGUUUACAUUACCCAGCUUGCUCUAACCAAUCAAGACACUCUUGCAUAGGGUAAUACCAAAUAUACAAAGAUGUAACAUAACUCAAAUAAGUUGGUUUCUACAGGGUGUAAAAUAUAAAAAAAUGCAUACCCCAA